rnacentral:misc_RNA from 1 species
AUUUUUAUAUUUGCAGUAUCAGCAUCCAAAGAAGCUUGGGAUGACUAUAAUAGAUAUCUCUCGGACAAGAAGGCCAAUGAGAAAGAAGUUUGGGUUGUUAGGCAGGGCAUCAAAAAACAUCUCCAAGCACAGGAUAUCCAUGUUGGUAAUAUAGUGUGGCUUCGUGAAAAUGAUGAAGUUCCAUGUGAUCUUGUUUUGAUUGGU